AUUGAACGCUGGCGGCAUGCUUUACACAUGCAAGUCGAACGGCAGCGCGGGCUUCGGCCUGGCGGCGAGUGGCGAACGGGUGAGUAAUACAUCGGAACGUGCCCAGUAGUGGGGGAUAGCUCGGCGAAAGCCGGAUUAAUACCGCAUACGACCUGAGGGUGAAAGCGGGGGAUCUUCGGACCUCGCGCUAUUGGAGCGGCCGAUGGCAGAUUAGCUAGUUGGUGGGGUAAAGGCCUACCAAGGCGACGAUCUGUAGCUGGUCUGAGAGGACGACCAGCCACCCUGGGACUGAGACCCGGCCCCGGCUCCUACGGGAGGCAGCAGUGGGGAAUUUUGGACAAUGGGCGAAAGCCUGAUCCAGCAAUGCCGCGUGUGUGAUGAAGGCCUUCGGGUUGUAAAGCACUUUUGGCGGGAACGAAAAGGACUGUGCCAAUACCACGGUUCGAUGACGGUACCCGCAGAAUAAGCACCGGCUAACUACGAG
rnacentral:rRNA from 1 species